GUUAUAACCUCGUCGAAGUUUUGGACGCUUGGAACAAACGCUGGGAGAAAAACGACCGUCGUAAAGCAACAAUUUUGAGACAUUGUUGCCUUGGAAAUACUAUACAUUGGACUACUAUUUGAUUUGGUGUCAAUCCCACACCAUCCGAUGCUGAAAUUCCCAAUCAACGGCUAGUUUCGACACUACGUCGUCUCCAGUUCACCUAUGAAAUUCUAGUAAGCCUUGGGUAUUUUCGGCCAUGUAAUGCAGAGCGGUAGUCCGCAGUCCCGGUUCCUGAAGUCCGAAUUUCUCUGCACACACGUCGCAUCAAUCAGCUCACGCCUUUCCUAGCAGUACUAAACAGUAAGUCACUCCGGGGAUCAGGCACUUGCACCAGUGGUAGAUCUCGUCUUGGUCAGCCACUCGGCCAGGGUCGAAUAAAAAGUAGAAAGGGAAAGCGCGGCCGGUGAAAAGCACCGUCAGUCUCCUGUGAACUCGACUUUUACGGUCACUUCGUUCGGCGCCCGUGACGGGCUAGCGUCAUCGGCACAGCCAGAAUCUAUCGAUAUCCGAAACGGUUCGGAACUGUGCGGCAAUUACAGACUGUUGGUAAAGAAGGAAGAAGGAAAAAGAACGCGGAUACAGAAAUGAGAAUACGGAGAACGGGUAGAACAGACGUCGGCGUCUCUCGAACGGUCAACUACACAGCCUGCGUGUGACCAAUGAAUAACAAGUGGACGUCCGGUUGAUGACGUCCGACAUACUCUACACUUGCAAUUAGUUUCUCAACGGCGUGAUUUUCUGCAUGAUGCCUACCUGUCUACGCACACAACUUGAGUACCGGCAUACCUCUUACAAAUAUAAUGUUAGAGGAGUAACAGCACUCGAUGUUCGCAUUGCGAAUUUUGAUUCAGGCUUGUAUCUUUGCCCCAAGUGUACACGGUCAACAUCGCAUAGUCCAGCACGAACGAUCUGAACUACCGCUAAUUCCAAGCUUGGCUAUUUUAUCACUCGGUAUUUUUCACUUUUAAAAAAGUCCGCCAGUGUUUGAGGCGCCUGGCUGGCACUCCGGUCUCUUUGCCCAACCAAGACCGCAACCUCGUAAAGUUACACCAAGUCUCAAGGAACUUUCCUAAUCGUAGGACCGGGGAUCCGACGCGUUUCCACCCCUCGGUAAUAGAGCCAAAAACCUGCGUAAAACUUUGUCAAACUUGGCGUGGGCAUCUCCGAGAACAGAGCGAGCUGGGCGAGGGAAAGAACGAGAAGCUGGGAAUUAUCAUGGAAAUUUUUCAUUGGAGGGACGAAAAGAUGGAUAAAAGAAAAUUCGGCGACAGACCGAUUCACCUGCGGUUGAUUAAUUCUUCGUCGCUUAAAUCCGGAAAUAUGCCGAGGACGACUUUCCGCCGCAAAGGUAUACACGAAGAGAAAAAUCGAAUAAUGACCGGUUAAACCCGAGCUACUCGGGCCGCUGUAAGCGCCCUAGCAACUCGAUCGAUGAAACUUGGUUCGGAUCAAUACUGAAGCGUCGCCCCGUGCAAUGCUGUGCAAAUUGAUAUCCCGAUUCGUCUGACCGUGGCCGUUUUCCACCACCGGCUAUGGGCUCAAAUUUUCUAAACGUCAAAACAGUUCCUCCGGAGGAUCUUUCUUCACUCGGCGAGUACCGAACGAAAUCCGUGUGCCAACUCCCUGCCUAGUCACGUAAUCGUGACAAAUCGAUGAUUUGGAAAAAUUUCCAGAGGUCAGACAAGAUUUCGCUAUCGAAUAUUUUCAAAGGUGGACGCGAAAGAAAAAGAAUAUGUAUAUAUACGUAUACACCACGUAUAAUACAUAUGUAAAGCUGCACUGAGAUAUGCGAUGAUGUAGAAAUCAAAUUGCACCGCUAUCACAAUAUUGGAUAGCCACGGGAAAUAAUCGUGCUGACCACUGUUUAGAUUGCAUUUCCAUUUAAUUUAGGCGCAGGCGAAACUCCGGACCGUUGUACUUCGAUACACGUUCAACGGCACCCUUAACAGGUACAGCUUAAAUAUCUGUCAAAUGGAUGCUUCUGACAAUGAGAAUAAGUUGAACCGAUUAUGUCACCGGUGUGAAUGGUUUUUGAAGAAAGAAAAAUCUAACCCUCGUUUCGGUUUCGCGCGAUCGGAGAGAAACUGAAGACUUUUUAAUUCUGGGCUCAUGUAGCAACAUCCCCAACCCUUACCCUAUAUAAUACAAACCCCCGCGUGAUCGUCAUGUACUCGUAUACCUACAGGAAUUAGCAUGAAUCGUUAAAAAGUCUCUCCGCAGUGCCGAAUAAAACAGAAAAAAAAGAAUAAUAAAAGAAAGAGAAAUUGAAUAUAAAAGCCGGCAUGUGGGAAUAAUCAACGUUUCGUUACGCAUAAUCUGCACUUAUGGUUCUACCCAAGUAACUUAUAAUUAUAAGUACAUGCGUCAAGCGGAAAUAAAAUAAUCUGAACCGCAAUUACGGAUUUGCCAGUGGCAGAACCAAGGCGCGCGAUGUGCUCGUGGUGCUCGGCUCGUCGUCAGAUAUCAAACAGACAGUUUUUCAGAGCGACGUCGAGACCGGUACCAUUUAAUUCUUCAGCAUCGCUCACCGGCCGAAGCUCGAUCCUCGGCACGAUGUGCUCUUGGGCGUGAUAGCAGUUGGUUCUUCCGGCUGUAGGUAGCUGGUCCGUGACGUCAAUCGCCUGCACCAGCUCGAACUUCUUACCGCACGACAACCCGAAGACUUAUACAGAGGAAAAUCAUUCGCGAAACUUUCACAAUUGGUACGGUCAAGAAGUAAACAAAUGGUACGAGUGAGCCAACCUCGUACGGGUUGGACGGAGGGAAAUGGGUCACAAGGGGUGAAGAGAGGGGUGCGACGGAGAAAGGAGAAGAGAGAGAGAGAGAGAGAGAGAGAGAGAGAGAAAAGCGCGAGGCAAAAAUUGAAAUAAAACUGGGCGGAAAAUUUAAACUCGCUCUGAGCACCUAAUUAUUGCAAAUUGCGUCGGGUAACGAAUGCUAGAAUUGAAAAUAGUCGUCAGUUCCACUUCUGCAAGAUUUUGCAAAUCCUGAGGCACAUCCUUUGCACGGGAUAUUCCAUGGUGUAGCAUUCUAUCUGCAAUGUAGAAACAAAUAAUAGGCACUUGAUUAAUUUCGGUGAUUUAUUACCUGAAAAAAUAUGUAAGAACAGAAUAUAGCUAUAUGCAGUAUAUGCAUCGAAGGAUCUAUGUAUGUUUACUGAUAUAUAACACUUGAAUACGCGAGGCUCCUAAGAUUUCCAUUGUGCUGCUCAAUUGUAAUUUGCGUUAGAACGUCGCCUCGCCAUUGCUUUGGCGCAUUUUAGACGAUUAAUCACAAAUAAAUAACUCGGAUAUAAUGUGUAUGAAAAAUUUGCUUCAGUUAUCAUUUUCACUUAUUUGAUAGAAUUUUUUUUCCAAUACAACAACUAUGAAGAAGUAACAGCUGACAUUCCUCUGUGAAAACUGUACCUAAUAACACGAUUAAUUAUCCGAGAGAAUAUAAACUUACGUUUCGCGAAUUAUAAUCCUUGUAAAAAUAGACUACACAUCAGUGCUGGUUACAAAAAAAAAACAAAAAAAAAAGUGCAAUGCUCGUAUAAUAUAAAAUACAAUUUAUCGUUAAUAUAAUCGAAAAGAAGUCGCGACUCUGCAAUAUUCGGGCGAGGAUUAUAUUUGCAGUCGUAACUUCAAUCGGGGUGUUGUUUUGGUUCCAUACGUCACGGGUGGGUUUUCGAAAUAUCAGACGGUAUCACGUAAGAAGGGGCAUAACGUUUCUACGUAGCGGGUAUUAUUUAUUAUACUGUAUACAUGUAUAUCCGUAAUUAUUAGCACGAAUUCUGAGCUCAAUAUCUGACAGUGAUAAUGAGAAUGAGAAUACUUUAUCAUUAGCCGUAAUUUGUGAGAGAGAGAGAGAGAGUGAAUUACCUACACCGAAAGAAAUUUCUGUUUAUGGUUUGCUAUUUAUAUACAGUCUUGAGCUGUUUCCAAUUUUUUUCCCAUAAUUAAAAAAUAUGGAUCCGGGUAGGUAUAAACUGAAAAUCAGGCUUCGAGUUGGAGUAAUCAGAAAUUCUAUUACGUGUUACUAUUAUUUUUGAUUACGAUCAUUCUUACUAAUCAGAUUACAGCUGUUGCGAUCAUUUAAUGUGGGUGGAGUAAUAAAAUAAUGUCAACGUUUUGUAUGAUUGAAAAAAUUGACUAAACUAAACAGAUUGAACGCUACAGUAACCAGACAGCGCAUCAGUAUUGGCAAUUAUAAUCAGAUUAAAUUGUUACUUGUGACACAUUUUUUUUUUUUUUUUUACGAUUGCAGCAAUUAUCGAUCCGUUAUUUUAACGAUAUUCAAUUUACUAGUAUUUUCUAAUAACUUUACUAAAUUAAAUGAUUCUCGUCGUCAGUGUACGUUUUCAAAAAACGUUUCGAGCGAAGAAAGGACUCUUUGAAUUCCUUUUCUCUUCUCCGUGCCAGGCGGGCUGCUCCAGGGCACUAAAAAGCGCCCCCUUGGCGCCGGGCGAGAAUAAGCUCGACAAAAACUCCCCCUCGACUCGCUCGCGGGGCGUUUACCAACUUUACGGAAAGACCAGGCCGCGUCGAAUAAUUUUGCGUUUCAAAAAAAUUUUUCCCAACCUGCCUUAGGCGGUGAAAAAUCAGGGAGAACCGAAUGUUCUGUCUCUCUUUCCCUGUUUUAUUUUUUUGCCUGUUUACGUGCAUGAAUUAAAACGAUAUUGUUUUGUAUUUUGUUUCUCUAAACAACAAAUAAUAUUCUAUCCUUA